GCCAGAGACAUAUCUCCCUGCAGUUCUCACCUGGUUUCCCACUGAAACUUAGCAUGGUUAAGUUUGGCGAGUAUCUGGAUGGGAGACCUCCUGGGGAAAACUAAGGUUGCUGCUG
rnacentral:rRNA from 1 species